rnacentral:rRNA from 1 species
UACGUAGGGUGCGAGCGUUAAUCGGAAUUACUGGGCGUAAAGGGUGCGCAGUCGGCGUCGCAAGUCAGGCGUGAAAUCCCCGGGCUUAACCUGGGAACUGCACUUGAAACUACGAUGCUGGAGUAUGGCAGAGGGAGGUGGAAUUCCACGUGUAGCGGUGAAAUGCGUAGAGAUGUGGAGGAACACCGAUGGCGAAGGCAGCCUCCUGGGCCAAUACUGACGCUCAUGCACGAAAGCGUGGGGAGCAAACAGG